UCAUAACUCAGGAGAGAGGCAGUCACCAGAUCGAGAUAUCACCGAUUUCAGCGCAGAAACAGAGACCCUGUGCUUUACUGCUGCCUGGAUGGAGCGAUCAGACACACAGCCUGCUUUGUAGCGAAGUCGCCACCGCGAAGAGUUGAGCUCAUGGAUUGCUGCCAACAACUUCACCAGCACCUGCAAUUUUCCUGAAUCAGUUUCACAGAAAGUGUCUGAAGUAUAAUCUUGUGGGAAGACAUCUAUUACACCUUCAUAGAGGCUGGACUCAUCAUAUUCCUCAGACAUAGGAUCACAACUUUUUUCCUGUUGAAAAUAAAAGUAUUAACAUUCCAUAUCCCCUCUAACAUAUUUUUUUAAGAUUGCUAUAUUUUUAUCACAAAGACAAAAGCAGGCAUAAAAAGCUGGCACAAAGCAAUGUAUUAUGUGAGUGUGAUCAUGAGCAUGACAACCGCCAAACACGGGAUUGAAAGCAGUUUUAGAGUACUUAUAGUGUUUAUUUUAGUUUACAUUCUCUAAUCUAAGACAUUGCUUGCAGCUAAGUAGAAAGAUGAAAUACUUAAAACUGAAAAAUGCGUACAACUUCUCUACUUAAACAACCACACAAAUGUAUUUCCACAGUAAAGAUAUAUCUAACCUUGGGAGUGAGGAGGAAAUCAAUACAUUGUUUAUUCUUUCUAAAUCCCAUAAUAUCUUAUUAUGAAACUUCCCAAUCAUUUACUCUGUUUAGGAAAAUACUGUCGCUAAGAUUCAGUUAUACUAUUGAAAAUGAAGAAAAGCUGGCAAGCAAAACCAGUAAAAUAGCAGAAAUACAGAUAAUAUUUUGCUGUACUUAGAAAAAUCAAUGUUUCACAGGGAGGAAAAAGCCAGACUACUCAAAUGCCAAAAUCACAAUGGUAAUAAAUGAUUUGCACAUACAGUCCUCUCCAUCCCUAUAUUUAAUAAAGGCUUGGGGUUUU